CACCCUUGGGCUCCUGUGGACUGAGGCACCCUCACAGCAUCAGGCCGUGUCUCGGCCACUCUCCUCUCGCCAGCUGCAUGCUCAGGCCUGGGAGGAGUGGGGGCACCCGGGUUUCCAGGACCCACUUGUUCCCGAAGGCCACACUGCAGGACCAGGACUCACCAUCUGGUUUUUCAGGGCCCCCUCAAACCGCAGGCCCCGCUGACAGGAGCCCCGGCCAUCAAUCACCACCACGGCAUAGCCCAGGGACGCCAGCGUGUUCAGCCGCAGGUACUUGAUGCCCUUGAAGGAGUUGUUCACCAGCUGCACCUGCAGGGUCCCUCCAUCUGCGUGGUCACCGUGGGAAGAGUAUGGCGGAAGCCUGAGCUGGCCUCAGAGGGACGCAGUCACCCUGACCAUGGCUGCCCUUGGGUUUCCUGUUUCCCAAGGAUGGGCACACAGCCGCACUGGUCACCUGCUGUGGUGAGGCCUCGCUCUCCGAGACACCAUCUCUUUAUGUAGCCCAGGCUGGCUUGGACCCAGACUUUUAGUCCUGCCUCUGCCUCCUGAGUGCUGGGAGGACAGUGUGCCCUACCAAACUUGGUUUCUGGGGAUGGAACUGGGUUUCAGGCAUGCUAGCACUCUGCCAUUGAGCCCCAGCCACUAUUAGAGGUUUUUCCAAGGCAUGCCCCUCGUGUGCAGAAACUGGAACUCAAAGUUACUCAAGCAGAGUCAUGGUGGACCUCGAGCUUUGAGGCAGUUUCUCGGAACAUUAUCUCUUUCUGAGGCCUCUGGUGAGUGACCCUGAGCUCCCUGCCAAAACUACAGCUUCCAAACAUCUGCUUUCCGAGGUACUGUCACAGAGGUUACCCCAGGGCGCUAGGGUGGCUGCCAGGCACCUGCACCUGCAUCUGCAGCCAUGCCAGAGACAUGGGGAACCUCGCUUGUUGUGGGAGUGUGAACUAUUCUCCGUGCACCUGUCACUGGGAGCCUCGGCUGUCUACCUCUGCUUCCCCCGGCUGCUGGGCCAGUUCCCUGAGGUGCACUACUCACUGGCUGCCUCCAUCAUGCUGGCCCAGAAGCGUGGCUGCUUGUGCAGCGGGUCAUCGUCAGGGCCGCUCAGCUUGUACACGUGCACGCAGGGCGGUGUGCUCACGCUGCUGUAGUGACUCACAAACAUGUCGAAGUUCUGCUGGCAGCAGGAGGGCACUCAGUGCACAAGAGCAGACGCGCACAACCCCACCCACCCACCGGCCAUCACCACCACUCUGCAGAUGAGGAAACAGGGACCCAGGCCUCGUCCUCGAUGGACAGGGGUCGACCUCCCAGGCCCAGGGAGGCUGGGGUGGGCAGGGGCGUGUCAUGCCCACCUGACUCAUGGAGCAGCUGUGGGAGAAGCCGGGUGUGGUGAGCCUCACGAUCUCGCCAGCCGACUCGUAGCUGACCACGUAAAGGUGGUGCUCCAGGGGCGUGUCCUUUGUGCCUUGGAAGUACACCAGCUUUGUCUGCUCAUUGACCCAGAUCUGCAGGCAAUGGGGGCUUCUGUGACCAGCCGUGCCUGGCUAUACUUUCUGCCCUAGCCCCUGGCCCCAGGGACGGCAAUCAGGGACCACCCUCUUACCUGCUGCCCCCUCCGCACCCCAGACAACAGCAGCCUGCAGCCCGACAGACUGAGGGCAGAGCAUAAGGGACACAGUGCUGUGGGCUGAGAGCUCCCCCAGCAGGCACAAGGCCCUGGCUCCAUCCGCAACAUCACAUAAGCUGGGCAUGGUACAGCAUGCCUGUCACCCAACACUUGGGAGGAUCAGGAGUUCGAGGUCACCCUCUGCUACAUAGUGAGUUCAAGGCCAGCCUUUUCUCAAAAAAUAAAAGGAUGUCUGUUGA